CGCCUCUUGACAAAAUAUAAGAGGUCCAGCCUGCCCAGUGACUUUGUUCAACGGCCGCGGUAUCCUAACCGUGCGAAGGUAGCGUAAUCACUUGUUCUUUAAAUGAGGACCAGUAUGAAUGGCAUCACGAAGGUUACACUGUCUCCUUUUUCCAAUCAGUGAAACUAAUCUCCCCGUGAAGAAGCGGGGAUAAAUCUAUAAGACGAGAAGACCCUAUGGAGCUUUAAACUAAAUAACACUUGCUUUCACACAAUCUGCCUCCAGAGCAACUUACACUUACUUUAGCCUCCUGAUUAUUAGUUUUAGGUUGGGGUGACCGCGGAGUAAAAAAUAACCUCCACAUUGAAUGGGAAAAUUCCCCUGAGCCGUGAACUACAACUCUAAGCACCAAUAAAUUGACAUCAAUUGACCCAAUAUAUUGAUCAACGAACCAAGUUACCCUAGGGAUAACAGCGCAAUCCGCUUUAAGAGCCCCUAUUGACAAGCGGGUUUACGACCUCGAUGUUGGAUCAGGGUAUCCCAGUGGUGCAGCCGCUACUAAAGGUUCGUUUGUUCAACGAUUAAAACCCU
rnacentral:rRNA from 1 species